rnacentral:lncRNA from 1 species
UCAUCUCUUUCCUUCCUUCAUCUUGAGUUUUUUAAGAGUGUCUCAGAUCUAAAACUUCUCCUCCUACUUCUUAUAUUUGGAAGAGCCCAAAUCAAGAAGAAGGAGGCACCUAAUCAACCAUCAAAGAAGGAUCAGCCCAGUACUAGCAUACUAUGCUAAUUUUCUGAAGCAGGACUUCUGAUCGAGAUUCGUGGGCUCGUGUGGAUGACUCCUAA